rfam:Brassica napus, WGS project CCCW01000000 data, contig: 1471
GGAAUAUAAGAAAUCGUCUCUUAACUUUUAACUAUAAAAAUUAAGAACCGGCUCUUAAAUAAGAUAUUGAAGAACCGGUUCUUAACUUUUUUAGUUAAAAGUUAAGAGACGGUUUUUUUAUAUUCC